UACGGGGGGAGCAAGCGUUGUCCGGAAUUAUUGGGCGUAAAGAGCUUGUAGGCGGCUUGUCGCGUCGACUGUGAAAUCCCGCGGCUCAACCGCGGGCUUGCAGCCGAUACGGGCAGGCUAGAGUUCGGUAGGGGAGACUGGAAUUCCUGGUGUAGCGGUGAAAUGCGUAGAUAUCAGGAGGAACAUCGGUGGUGUAGACGGCUUUCUGGACCGUAACUGACGCUGAGACACGAAAGCGUGGGUAGCAAACAGG
rnacentral:rRNA from 1 species